rnacentral:rRNA from 1 species
UCCCGUACUUCUUACAAUUGCGAUGGGGGGACGGAGAAGGCUAGGUGGGCCUGGCGACGGUUGUCCAGGUUCAAGUACGUAGGCGGGUGGUUUAGGUAAAUCCGGACCGCUACUAACGCUGAGAUACGAUGUCGAGCUACUACGGUAGUGAAGUCAUUGAUGCCAUGCUUCCAGGAAAAGCCUCUAAGCUUCAGAUUGUAAGGAAUCGUACCCCAAACCGACACAGGUGGUCGGGUAGAGAAUACCAAGGCGCUUGAGAGAACUCGGGUGAAGGAACUAGGCAAAAUGGUACCGUAACUUCGGGAGAAGGUACGCUCUUAUCAGUGAAGUCCCUUGCGGAUGGAGCAGACGAGAGUCGCAGAUACCAGGUGGCUGCAACUGUUUAUUAAAAACACAGCACUGUGCAAAAUCGUAAGAUGACGUAUACGGUGUGACGCCUGCCCGGUGCCGGAAGGUUAAUUGAUGGGGUUAGACUUCGGUCGAAGCUCUUGAUCGAAGCCCCGGUAAACGGCGGCCGUAACUAUAACGGUCCUAAGGUAGCGAAAUUCCUUGUCGGGUAAGUUCCGACCUGCACGAAUGGCGUAAUGAUGGCCACGCUGUCUCCACCCGAGACUCAGUGAAAUUGAAAUCGCUGUGAAGAUGCAGUGUACCCGCGGCUAGACGGAAAGACCCCGUGAACCUUUACUACAGCUUGGCACUGAACAUUGAACCUACAUGUGUAGGAUAGGUGGGAGACUUUGAAACCGCGUCGCUAGAUGUGGUGGAGUCGUCCUUGAAAUACCACCCUUGUAGUUUUGAUGUUCUAACGUUGGUCCCUGAAUCGGGAUUACGGACAGUGCCUGGUGGGUAGUUUGACUGGGGCGGUCUCCUCCCAAAGAGUAACGGAGGAGCACGAAGGUGGGCUAAACACGGUUGGACAUCGUGUGGUUAGUGCAAUGGCAUAAGCCCGCUUGACUGCGAGAAUGACAAUUCGAGCAGGUGCGAAAGCAGGUCAUAGUGAUCCGGUGGUUCUGAAUGGAAGGGCCAUCGCUCAACGGAUAAAAGGUACUCCGGGGAUAACAGGCUGAUACCGCCCAAGAGUUCAUAUCGACGGCGGUGUUUGGCACCUCGAUGUCGGCUCAUCACAUCCUGGGGCUGAAGUCGGUCCCAAGGGUAUGGCUGUUCGCCAUUUAAAGUGGUACGCGAGCUGGGUUUAGAACGUCGUGAGACAGUUCGGUCCCUAUCUGCCGUGGGCGUUGGAAAAUUGAAAGGGGCUGCUCCUAGUACGAGAGGACCGGAGUGGACGAACCUCUGGUGUUCGGGUUGUCAUGCCAAUGGCAUUGCCCGGUAGCUAAGUUCGGAAUCGAUAACCGCUGAAAGCAUCUAAGCGGGAAGCGAGCCUUGAGAUGAGUUUUCCCUG